UAUUUAAUAAUGGACGCAGUU
ensembl:piRNA 21ur-15179 ncRNA